rnacentral:rRNA from 1 species
AGAGCAACGCCGCGUGAGGGAUGAAGGCCUCUGGGCUGUAAACCUCUUUUAUCAAGGAAGAAGAUCUGACGGUACUUGAUGAAUAAGCCACGGCUAAUUCCGUGCCAGCAGCCGCGGUAAUACGGGAGUGGCAAGCGUUAUCCGGAAUUAUUGGGCGUAAAGCGUCCGCAGGCGGCCCUUCAAGUCUGCUGUUAAAAAGUGGAGCUUAACUCCAUCAUGGCAGUGGAAACUGUUGGGCUUGAGUGUGGUAGGGGCAGAGGGAAUUCCCGGUGUAGCGGUGAAAUGCGUAGAUAUCGGGAAGAACACCAGUGGCGAAGGCGCUCUGCUGGGCCAUCACUGACGCUCAUGGACGAAAGCCAGGGGAGCGAAAGGGAUU